UACAGAGGUCUCAAGCGUUGUUCGGAUUCAUUGGGCGUAAAGAGCUCGUAGGCGGCUUGUCGCGUCGGUUGUGAAAGCCCGGGGCUUAACCCCGGGUCUGCAGUCGAUACGGGCAGGCUAGAGUUCGGUAGGGGAGAUCGGAAUUCCUGGUGUAGCGGUGAAAUGCGCAGAUAUCAGGAGGAACACCGGUGGCGAAGGCGGAUCUCUGGGCCGAUACUGACGCUGAGGAGCGAAAGCGUGGGGAGCGAACAGG
rnacentral:rRNA from 1 species